rnacentral:ncRNA from 1 species
AUAUGUGUUUUAGGUGCUUUUUUAACGAAAGAGAAUAGGGAAUACGGUGUAAAUCCGUAACAGCGCCCACUACCGUAACUUGGACGAAAUAUUUUGAGCUUUUGGCUCGCCACUGACAGUUUUUUGUCGGGAAGGUAUAAAUACGUAGGUUGAAGAGAAGCCGGGAGACCUGCCUAAACAUGA